rnacentral:lncRNA from 1 species
GGUCUGUUUCUUUACUUCCUCCACGGAGUCGGCACACUAUGGCUGCCCUCUGGGCUCCCAGAACCCACAACAUGAAAGAAAUGGUGCUACCCAGCUCAAGCCUGGGCCUUUGAAUCCGGACACAAAACCCUCUAGCUUGGAAAUGAAUAUGCUGCACUUUACAACCACUGCACUACCUGACUCAGGAAUCGGCUCUGGAAGCUAGAGGAACCAGACCUCAUCAGCCCAACAUCAAAGACACCAUCGGAACAGCAGCGCCCGCAGCACCCACCCCGCACCGGCGACUCCAUCUUCAUGGCCACCCCCUGCGGCGGACGGUUGACCACCAGCCACCACAUCAUCCCAGAGCUGAGCUCCUCCAGCGGGAUGACGCCGUCCCCACCACCUCCCUCUUCUUCUUUUUCAUCCUUCUGUCUCUUUGUUUCUGAGCUUUCCUGUCUUUCCUUUUUUCUGAGAGAUUCAAAGCCUCCACGACUCUGUUUCCCCCGUCCCUUCUGAAUUUAAUUUGCACUAAGUCAUUUGCACUGGUUGGAGUUGUGGAGACGGCCUUGAGUCUCAGUACGAGUGUGCGUGAGUGUGAGCCACCUUGGCAAGUGCCUGUGCAGGGCCCGGCCGCCCUCCAUCUGGGCCGGGUGACUGGGCGCCGGCUGUGUGCCCGAGGCCUCACCCUGCCCUCGCCUAGUCUGGAAGCUCCGACCGACAUCACGGAGCAGCCUUCAAGCAUUCCAUUACGCCCCAUCUCGCUCUGUGCCCCUCCCCACCAGGGCUUCAGCAGGAGCCCUGGACUCAUCAUCAAUAAACACUGUUACAGCAA